rnacentral:rRNA from 1 species
UACGUAGGUGGCAAGCGUUGUCCGGAUUUACUGGGCGUAAAGGGCGUGCAGGCGGUCUGUUAAGUGCAGGGUGAAAGCUCCCGGCUCAACUGGGAGAGGUCCUUGCAUACUGGCGGACUUGAGGGGGGUAGAGGAAAGUGGAAUUCCCGGUGUAGUGGUGAUAUGCGUAGAUAUCGGGAGGAACACCUGUGGCGAAGGCGGCUUUCUGGACCAAUAUUGACGCUGAGGAGCGAAAGCUAGGGGAGCAAACGGG